CAGCCGCCGCGGUAAUACGUAGGUGGCAAGCGUUGUCCGGAAUCAUUGGGCGUAAAGGGCUCGCAGGCGGUUUCUUAAGUCUGAUGUGAAAGCCCCCGGCUCAACCGGGGAGGGUCAUUGGAAACUGGGAAACUUGAGUGCAGAAGAGGAGAGUGGAAUUCCACGUGUAGCGGUGAAAUGCGUAGAGAUGUGGAGGAACACCAGUGGCGAAGGCGACUCUCUGGUCUGUAACUGACGCUGAGGAGCGAAAGCGUGGGGAGCGAACAGGAUUAGAUACCCCGGUAGUCCCUGUCUCUUAUAC
rnacentral:rRNA from 1 species